UACGUAGGGGGCAAGCGUUGUCCGGAUUUAUUGGGCGUAAAGAGCGUGUAGGCGGCCACACAGGUCAGCUGUGAAAACUCGAGGCUCAACCUCGAGACGUCGGUUGAAACCGUAUGGCUAGAGUCCGGAAGAGGAGAGUGGAAUUCCCGGUGUAGCGGUGAAAUGCGCAGAUAUCGGGAAGAACACCGGUGGCGAAGGCGGCCCGCUGGGCAGUGGCUGACGCUGAAGCGCGACAGCGUGGGGAGCGAACAGG
rnacentral:rRNA from 1 species